rnacentral:lncRNA from 1 species
CUAACCUGCCUCCAGGUAUUAGGUAAACUUCUUUCUUCAUGCACACCUUAAAAACACAUCUACAAGUACUGUAAUAGUUUUUGAGCAAAUUUGUUUUCAAAUGAGAUUUAAAAGCUUACGAGGACUUUAAAGAUUGAAGAUCAGACCAUUCCAAAGUGAACAAAAGUUUUGCAAAGAAAUUAAUACUUUCCUAUCAUCCAGUCAAUCAACAGGAACAACACCAAAAAGAUUAAAAAUCUUUCUAAUCAAUAACAUUACCUAUUCUGUUUGUCAGAAAACAUUGUAUAAAACAUAACAGUCAGCAAAUUCAUGCAAAAUAUACAAGUUAAUUGGGACAGGUUACUUUUAACCUUUUACUCUUGUUUUCAGUUACAAAGAUCUAUUAGUUCAACCUAAAUAAAUUUUUACAAAUGUGUUAUUACCUGGAUGUUAACUUAAAUUCUAAAGAAUCCUUGACACUUCUUUAAAGAAAGAGGAUUAAAAUAUUGUCAUUUAUUGAUCUUUGAAGUCUGAUGGCGCAAUUAAUUAUGAUGCACUGCUACACAAUUCGUAUGUUCAGCCCUGUAAAAAGUUAUUUACCUACUGACCAAUUAAGACAUGGACUUUGUUCAUUGAAAGUAUUGUCAUAGAACAACAGAAAAAUUUAACAUUGACGCUAAUGAUGCAAAGUGAUGAGACUGAUACUGAUAAUGUUAGGACAAAAUCGAUACCUAAUGUUCAAGCAAAAGCUAUAUUGUUAGAAUCUUCACAUCCUACUAUACAGAAUUUACAUAGAAUGCCUAAAUAACACAUUAAGGGAAAAUUUUUACAACAAAAAAAAAAAAACACGGCGCCAAACGAACUAUUUUUUUAUGCAAAAUACCUUUGUUCGACCUAGACGCAAGGUAAAGUAAAUAAGUAAGUGUAUUUAAUCUUAUAUUCUAUUGUUUUCAGAUUCUUUGUAGAAAGUCGAAAACGUUACACCUAUAAUUAUUGGUACCUGCAUAGCCGCUGCUGUAUUAAUUACAACGGCUAUUACUAGUGUAUGUCUGCUUCUGAGGCUUCAAAAGACAGUUGAUUCAAAAAGAGAAGUCGACCCUGAGACCUCUGAUUCUACAGGAGGGAAUCGUAAAGAAAACAAUAAGUUUUUGGAACAGGAAGCGAUAACCAUGAAGCCAAAUCAAGGCCACCUAAGCAAGAAUGGAGGAAAAUCAUGUUUUAUUCUCUUUAGUAUUAUUUCUGCAUUUAAAACAUUCCCAGGUGUUGUUGUACAUCUCUGCAAGCUGCGUGUCAUGAACUACCAGUUUAACAGUUCUUUACCAGUGAAUCAGAGAGUUCUCUGAUGCUUCAGUUUCAUGGAACCGUCACGAGGGAUUUCAUCAAAUUUCAAGAACUCUUAAAGGAUCAAUUUAUUAAAAAUGGAGACAAAAUAUAUAAAUAAGAUGUGAACAACAUGUUGAAAUACUAUUUUUUAGCUUAGAGAAUGAAUUAACGUGUCCCCUGCUCUUAAAUCAAAUUUAAUAAAAUUUUGGUUAAACUGCCACAAAAGCCCUAAUCAGUAAUUAAGAUAUAGCGAUCAGUCUAAAUAUAUCAGAUAUAUGAUGUGUAAUUUAGAUGAUAUAUGUGAUGAAUGUCAUAUGUUUCUCAGUGCUCACCCUUUGUUAACAUUUUCUCGGAAAGCGCUUGCUUCCUGUAUAUUUUAUGAGUCAUCCAAAUGUAUUUACAUUUCACCUAUAAUAAAUGUUAAAGUAUAUUUAUUAAUUUAAGAAAAUGCAUUUGAAUUUCAUUAUCCCUGUUUUCAUUAUCUAUAUAUAUAUAUAUCUUUUGUGAUAUUGUCACCAUUUUGUACACAAAAGAUUUGUGUGUGAUGUAUAUUUUGUCGGAUGCUAUGGCUUAAAUACUCCUUGGGAUUAAAUUAAAUAAAAUAAAACAGAAAAGAAGGAAUAAAAAUUCAUCAUUGUCAAAUAAAAAGUGACUCUGUUGUAAACAUUAAUGAAAAAAGUCUUAAUUUUAAUGACAAUUGAAUACAUUAUAUUGUAUAAUAUAGAUGUAGUCAGGAAAAGUAUUUUAGUAGUGCAAGAUAGAAAUUCCGCGAGUAUGUAGACGUAAGAAAAGAACUGAGCAAAAAGAUUGUUUCAUCACAGAACUGAUCGAAAUGACAUUUUUGCAUACAAUAUGCUUUUAUUUAUAAAUGCAUUUCUGGGCUUUGAUGAAUAAAAUAAUACAUCAGAAGUCAUUAUUGUGUAUGUGUCAACCUACACUCAUUCAUUCUCAAGGGUAGUAACCUUAUACAAAGCAAAUGAACCUUAUCAAAAGGGCUUAAGUGGUUUUGCCCUAGAUAUUCAUUUUAUACUCUCCUAUGAUCUAUUCAUCGACUAUGUUAUUUUGAAUAGAACAGCUUAAGCCUUCUAGAACUUCAAAGAACUGGCUCUUCACUCUAGAACCUAUUUAUUGCAUCAAACCAGCGUGUGUGUUUUGUUUUGCACAUACAUAAACUUGUUACGAAAAAUUUUGUAAUAGUUUACUUGUAUUACUUUUUUUCUAGAUAGACCCAUCAACAGAUGUUAAAAAGUUCAUUCAAUUUGAAUGAGCAAUUAUCAUGAGUGCUUUAUUUUUAUAAACGGAUUUUCCCGAGACAUCAUUUACUAGUUGCUGCAGGUACAACAAUGGCGGCGACUAUCACACACUGACUUCCUAUGAGGAACGCUUAAUUAAAUCUCUUGUACAAAAGUGUAGAUAAAGUCUUUUGUUUUAGCAAUGCAUGAUAUCCAGCAUUGAAAUCUUUCCUUAUAAUUUUCAUUGACCUUAUUUAAAAUUUUGUGUAUUACUUAAUCUUUUGGAGUGAUGGGAAUUCCCGUUUUAUAUAUCGGGUGAUAGUUCUAGCCAUUAUGACUAGAUGUGAUAGAGUAGACAAAGCAACAUCUUCUGCCUUAACCUUGCUGAGAAUUAACCACCUUUUACGAGCAAACUGAAUAGUUCCAACAACAUGAAAUUAUUCAUAAGCUAAUAUGUGUGGUGCUGAGGACACCUGGGCGUCUCUCUUCUUGUUCGAAUGGCCUCAUUACAAGUGUUUAUACUAUUAACCUUGUUUAUACAGUCUAUAGAAGGUGAGGAAACCAUUACCAGCUGCCAGUAGAGUACGAAGGUGAUCUCAUUAGCAAAGUUACUUUAUUCUCGUCUGAAGCGGUGGGAAAGAUUCCUUUGGAUCUUGAGUAUAUAGAAUCAGGGCAGAACGAUGGGUAUAAGGUUGUAAUGUGCGACUGGGGGGUAAGGGACUGCGUGACAGACAGCGAUUUCACCAUCGACAGCCUGACUGUCGACAGCUUAUCAAUAAAAAUAAGCUCAAGUACUUACUGCCGAACUUGUGGAGAAUUUCAGUUUCGGAUCACACCAGACAAAAUAACCAAGUGCAAAGAUUUGUAUCAGACGACGAUACUGCAGCCUUCGAGUGGCAGUGCACGGAGUUGCAAAGUUGUCGGUACCAGGCCUGUUGUCGGCGUUAGCCUUCUAACUCUACUGACCACGAGGUACUUCUAAAAAGUUUUACACGUGGUAGGACUCCAAUCGCAUGACUAACGAGCCAUGAGGCUGUCAUAUAGAAAAUGAUGUCGCUGGUUCAGGCCAGGGAAGACAGAGUAUCACUGGUAACGGUGAAGGUAAGCAAAAUGUAAUUUGA